UACGGAGGGUGCAAGCGUUAUCCGGAUUCACUGGGUUUAAAGGGUGCGUAGGUGGAUUAGUAAGUCAGUGGUGAAAUCUCCGGGCUUAACCCGGAAACUGCCAUUGAUACUAUUAGUCUUGAAUACCGUGGAGGUCAGCGGAAUAUGUCAUGUAGCGGUGAAAUGCUUAGAUAUGACAUAGAACACCAAUUGCGAAGGCAGCUGGCUACACGAGCAUUGACACUCAGGCACGAAAGCGUGGGGAGCAAAAGGG
rnacentral:rRNA from 1 species